rnacentral:rRNA from 1 species
CCUACGGGAGGCUGCAGUGGGGAAUAUUGGACAAUGGGGGCAACCCUGAUCCAGCCAUACCGCGUGUGUGAAGAAGGCCCUCGGGUUGUAAAGCACUUUCAGUGAGGAAGAACGCCUGGUGGUUAAUACCCAUCAGGAAAGACAUCACUCACAGAAGAAGCACCGGCUAACUCCGUGCCAGCAGCCGCGGUAAUACGGAGGGUGCGAGCGUUAAUCGGAAUUACUGGGCGUAAAGCGCGCGUAGGUGGCUUGAUAAGCCGGUUGUGAAAGCCCCGGGCUCAACCUGGGAACGGCAUCCGGAACUGUCAAGCUAGAGUGCAGGAGAGGAAGGUAGAAUUCCCGGUGUAGCGGUGAAAUGCGUAGAGAUCGGGAGGAAUACCAGUGGCGAAGGCGGCCUUCUGGACUGACACUGACACUGAGGUGCGAAAGCGUGGGUAGCAAACAGGAUUAGAUACCCCAGUAGUC